rnacentral:rRNA from 1 species
AAUGAACGCUGGCGGCAGGCCUAACACAUGCAAGUCGAACGAGUGGCGGACGGGUGAGUAAUGUCUGGGAACCUGCCUGAUGGUAGGCGAUAAUUACUUGUAACGGUAGCUAAUACCGCCUACCCUCUGAUGUGCCCGGAUGGGAUUAGCUAGUGGGUGGGGUAAAGGCUAACCUAGGCGACGAUCCAUAGCUGGGCUGAGAGGAUGGACAUCCACACUGGAACUGAGACACGGUCCAGACUCCUACGGGAGGCAGCAGUGGGGAAUAUUGGACAAUGGGCGCAAGCCUGAUGCAGCCAUGCCGCGUGUGUGAAGAAGGCCUUCGGAUUGUAAAGUACUUUCAGCUGGGAGGCGUUACCAACAGAAGAAGCACCGGCUAACUCCGUGCCAGCAGCCGCGGUAAUAC